GGGGGGGGGACGCGGACUUCUCUAUGUGACCUCGUGGUACAAGUGACCGUGGCUGCAGAGGACGAGAAAAGCCCAUGAAGCUGAAAAAUUUUGCAAAGAGAAAACAAUUGCCCCGCAGACCACGACUAGAGCCCCAUAAAAGCUCACCCACAGGAGGACCUGGUCCUGAAGGGACAAGGCCAGAAGCUGCCACACUGGGCCAUACUGUCUGAAGGAGAAGAGGAGCCUUUCCAGGGAAACGACAGGAACAACCACAGAAGGAAAUGCUCCAGAUGCCGCUCUAGCUCACCUCGCUGUGUUACCAAAUGCAAGUUGCUAAGAUCUUCCAGAG